UGGGGGAUAUUGCACAAUGGGGGGAACCCGUGAUGCAGCGACGCCGCGUGGUGAAGGAGCGUUUCGGCGCGUAAAGCCCUAUCGGCAGGGAAGAAGGAGGACGGUACCUGACUAAGAAGCCCCGGCUAACUACGUGCC
rnacentral:rRNA from 1 species